rnacentral:rRNA from 1 species
CCUACGGGCGGCAGCAGUGAGGAAUAUUGGUCAAUGGACGAGAGUCUGAACCAGCCAAGUAGCGUGAAGGAUGACUGCCCUAUGGGUUGUAAACUUCUUUUAUAAGGGAAUAAAACGAGGCACGUGUGCCUUUUUGCAUGUACUUAAUGAAUAAGGAUCGGCUAACUCCGUGCCAGCAGCCGCGGUAAUACGGAGGAUCCGAGCGUUAUCCGGAUUUAUUGGGGUUAAAGGGAGCGUAGAUGGGUUGUUAAGUCAGUGGUGAAAGUUUGCGGCUCAACCGUAGAACUGCAUUUGAUACUGGCAGUCUUGAGUACAGGUGAGGUAGGCGGAAUUCGUGGUGUAGCGGUGAAAUGCUUAGAUAUCACGAAGAACUCCGAUUGCGAAGGCAGCUUACUAAACUGCCACUGACAUUGAUGCGCGAAAGUGUGGGUAUCAAACAGGAUUAGAUACCCCAGUAGUC